UUCUCCCUAGGGGUGGCAAUUUGUGUUUAUGUGUCGUAAUCAUGUCGACACGAUUAUAGAGAACAUGAACAUUACACGAUUAAUAAACGUGUCAGGAUUUCCCAACAUGUACACAAAACUAUUUAUUAAACAUGUUACUUAUUUAGCAUGAUUCUUAAAUGUGUUGUAUUGGGUUAACACGUUUACACAACACGUUUAACACGAAUAACCUGUUUUACAUAAAAUACAUAUUUUUAAAAUGAGAGAGAGAGAGAGAGUUGACUUUGUUGGCUGUGUGUGGGGGUUGAUACGUUUGUUUAGUUUUAUUUUAGGAUUUCUAAUAAAAAGAUAAAAAUAACCAUUGACUUUGUUAAAAAUUACAAAAUUACAUAUUUUUUUAUUUAUAGAUUAAACGUGUCAUAAAUGGGUUCAUAGGUUAACACGUGACACGACAUGAAAUUCUGUGUCAUAAAUGGAUCAACACGAACCUGUAUAAGCCCAACACUAACACGAAAAUUUCAUGUCAUGUUCGAAUGUCGUGUUGAAAAUUGCCACC
rnacentral:lncRNA from 1 species